AUUAGUGUGAGUUUAAUUAAUUUUUUAUAAAAUUUUCUCGAAAAAUAAAGAGUAAUAAAUUAUUUUGUAUUUGUUGUUGAAUUAACAUUAAAAAUUAUUUAUAGAAUUGAGAUUUUAUUCGAUUUAUUUUAUAUCUAGUUAAAUUAAAAAGGUUUAUCCUUGCUAUCAUAGUAUUGAUUGAGUUUUAAAAAUAUAUUUUAAUUAAUUGAUUGUUAAAUUUAAGGGGGCUAUCUCUUAAUUUAGUUAUCUAUAUCUUUAUAUAUUAUUUAGUUAAAUUUUCGCUUAAGAACAGCUUUAAUAUAAUAAGUUUAAUUUAAUAACUAAUUUAAUGGGAUUUUUAAAAAAAGUUUAGUUAUAUUUUAUUUGUCGGUUUAAAUUAAUAAAAUUUAUUAAUAAUUAUUCAAUUAGUAGAAUUUUUUAAAAUAAAUUAAAAAUAUAAUAAAUAAAAAUAAAUUAAUUCGACAAAUUAAGUCACGAUUGUUUAACAAAAACAUUUCUUUUUUAUAAAAUAAAAAGUAUAACCUGCCCACUGAAAAUUUAAGGGCCGCGGUAUUAUGACCGUGCAAAGGUAGCAUAAUCAUUAGCCUUUUAAUUAGAGGAUUGUAUGAAUGGUUGAACGUGGCUUUGUUUUAUUUAUUUAAAUAUAUUGAAAUAAAAUUUUAAGUGAAAAUGCUUAAAUGACUAAUUAGACGAUAAGACCCUAUAGAGCUUUAUAUAUGUAUUCUGUUAAGUAUUAAAAUUUUUAUUGGUUAAUAACCAGGUUGUAUAUUUUAUUGGGGCAAUAAAAGAAUAAAAUUAACUUCUUAUUAAUAAAUUUUAUUUAAUUAAUUAACUUUUAAUAUAAAAUUUAAUAGAAGUUACCUUAGGGAUAACAGCGUUAUUAAAGUUGAGAGUUCUUAUCGACACUUUAGAUUGCGACCUCGAUGUUGAAUUAAAAAUUCUUUGAGGGGCAGCAUUUUUAUUAGAUGGUCUGUUCGACCAUUAAAUUUUUACAUGAUUUGAGUUCAAACCGGUGUGAGCCAGGUUGGUUUCUAUCUUUUAGUUUAAUUUUAGUGUUUUAGUACGAAAGGAUUAAGCA
rnacentral:rRNA from 1 species